CCUACGGGUGGCAGCAGUGGGGAAUCUUGGACAAUGGGCGCAAGCCUGAUCCAGCCAUGCCGCGUGAGUGAAGAAGGCCUUAGGGUUGUAAAGCUCUUUUACCAGGGAAGAUAAUGACGGUACCUGGAGAAUAAGCCCCGGCAAACUUCGUGCCAGCAGCCGCGGUAAUACGAAGGGGGCUAGCGUUGUUCGGAUUUACUGGGCGUAAAGCGCACGUAGGCGGUCUGUUAAGUCGGGGGUGAAAUCCUGGGGCUCAACCUCAGAAUUGCCUUCGAUACUGAUGGACUUGAGUUCGGAAGAGGUUAGUGGAAUUCCCAGUGUAGAGGUGAAAUUCGUAGAUAUUGGGAAGAACACCAGUGGCGAAGGCGGCUAACUGGUCCGAUACUGACGCUGAGGUGCGAAAGCGUGGGGAGCAAACAGGAUUAGAUACCCCAGUAGUC
rnacentral:rRNA from 1 species